GACCAAGAAGGUUAAGUUAUAUUUAAAAUGGUAAAAAGAUAGUUAGAUAUUUAUAAAAGUUUGUUUAAUAUUUAUUAAAAGGUAGAAUUUGAAUAUAAAUAUGUAAUUUAAUUACAACUUGGGUAUUGAAGCUAUGAUAGCCUUGAGGGAAACUGGGAUUAGAUACCCCAUUAUUCUUGGCUGUAAAUAAAUAAAAUUUACCAGAGUACUAUGAAUCAUAAAAAUUUAAAACUCAAAGGGCUUGGCGGUGUUUUAGACCUUUUAGGGGAACCUGUCUCAUAAUCGACAAUCCACGUUACACCUAACCUUUUUUUGCUCUCAGUUUGUAUACCGUUGUCGUCAGGUAACUUUCUAAAAAGUAGAAGUUAGCAAAAAAAUUAUGUUAGUUUAUACGUCAGAUCAAGGUGCAGCUAACAAAAAGGUGAAGAUGGGUUACAAUUAUAAAAUUAUAAUUACGAAGUAAUUGUUUGAAAGACAACUAUAAAGGAGGACUUGAAAGUAAACUAAAAUACAUAAAUGUUUUGAAUAAGGCUCUGAAACGUGU
rnacentral:rRNA from 1 species